rnacentral:rRNA from 1 species
AGAGUUUGAUCCUGGCUCAGGAUGAACGCUAGCGGCAGGCUUAACACAUGCAAGUCGAGGGGUAACAUUGUGCUUGCACAGAUGACGACCGGCGCACGGGUGCGUAACGCGUAUAGAACCUACCUUUUACAGAGGAAUAGCCUUUAGAAAUGAAGAUUAAUGCCUCAUAGUAUUGUAGACUGGCAUCAGUUUAUAAUUAAAGAUUUAUCGGUAAAAGAUGGCUAUGCGUCCUAUUAGUUAGUUGGUAAGGUAACGGCUUACCAAGACAGCGAUAGGUAGGGGUCCUGAGAGGGAGAUCCCCCACACUGGUACUGAGACACGGACCAGACUCCUACGGGAGGCAGCAGUGAGGAAUAUUGGACAAUGGAGGAGACUCUGAUCCAGCCAUGCCGCGUGUAGGAAGAAUGCCCUAUGGGUUGUAAACUACUUUUAUACAGGAAGAAACACUGGUAUGUAUACCAGCUUGACGGUACUGUAAGAAUAAGGACCGGCUAACUCCGUGCCAGCAGCCGCGGUAAUACGGAGGGUCCGAGCGUUAUCCGGAAUCAUUGGGUUUAAAGGGUCCGCAGGCGGUCGAUUAAGUCAGAGGUGAAAUCCCAUAGCUCAACUAUGGAACUGCCUUUGAUACUGGUUGACUUGAGUCAUAUGGAAGUAGAUAGAAUGUGUAGUGUAGCGGUGAAAUGCAUAGAUAUUACACAGAAUACCGAUUGCGAAGGCAGUCUACUACGUAUGUACUGACGCUGAGGGACGAAAGCGUGGGGAGCGAACAGGAUUAGAUA